GGAAGGUGUGGAGCCCCGAUAUCGCGGGCGUCAGACCCCCCGGGGCCCUCGGACGCAAUGCAGCCUGGAGAGGAGGAGAUGGCCACGAAGGUCCAAAACUGGAAAAUGGCAUCCUUUUCCGAGGGGGGGGAGGAGAUGGCGGCCAAGUGCGGGAAGCCCCCUCCCGUCCCCCCGCCCCGCCCCCGGAGGCGCUGCAGCCGACGGAGCUAGCUCACACGCAGAAAUCAGAGUGCUGGGGAAUGGAGGAGUUUAUUUUCAAAUAGGAAGCACAUACACACACAUAUACACACGUACACACACACCCCCGGACAGGAGCGCUAGACGAGGCAGGGAAGUCACCACGGGGAGGGAUUGUUCCGAGAGGCUCCCGCGGCCUCCCUCUCAGGGAAGUCGAGGCUGGUCCGCGGCUGGGCUCCGGGUGCCCCGAAGGACCCGGCCAUGUAGACGAGAAGGGUCCCCGGUGCCAUCGCAGAAGGCCUCAGGCAGCCGGGGGAAGGCCGCCCCGCCUCCUUCGCUAUCCCCCAUUCCGCGGGGCCUGCACAUCUGGGGGGGGGGGUGAACAUUUGGAAGCGGAGAGCCUCCAUCAGAGAUGGGGGUGUCGGGGCGGGAGGUGGGGAGAUGUCCGGGCUCCAAGAGAUGGAGGCGCACAUCUGGAAGGGGAGGGGUUCGGGGGGGGGGUAUGAGGCAGGGAGGCGCACAUCUGGAAGCAGAGAGCCUCCAUCUGAGCUGGAGGGUGCGGAUGGGGGAGGAAGGCGCACAUCUGGUAGGGGAUGUGCAGGUUGGGGGAGGGAGGUGCACAUCUGGAAGAGGAUGCACAUCUGGAGGCACAAAGCCUCCAGCUGGGCCGGGGAAAGGGGGUCCGGGGGAGGGGGGUCCGGGGAGGAAGCGCACGUCCGGCCGCGCGUGGAGCCCUCGUCGGGAUCUUGGCGGUGGUUCCGACGCCCCUCCGGCGAUUCCGAGGCCCAGACGGUGGCGGCUGCAGGUGGGGUUGGGGUCGAGGCAGCCGCCGGGUCGAGCCGCCUCGUCUAUCUACCCGGGGCUCGUGGUGCGGCCGCGGUGGCUCCAGCGGCGGCGGCGCCGCGCAUCCCUGCGGGGAGCCGGGACCGCUGCUCCUGGUUCGGCCCGACCACUCCCGCGCCUGCCCGCACCGAAUCUGAGCCCGAGCCCGAGCCCGCAGCCCCGCAGACUCCUGAGUCCGCCCCCAAGCCCGCCAGUCACUCUUCAGAUUUGGCCUAACCCCGCCCCCAUCAAAGCGCAGCGUGCUAGCCCCGCCCCCAAACCGGUCCCUCAAUUUCCAAAGCCUUCUAAAUUCAAAGGGAGCCCGACGUUCUAG
rnacentral:lncRNA from 1 species